UAUGUAUCUAGUCAUCAUACCUGUGAUUGUAACCCAUGUGGAAAUGACAUUAAAAACGUCAAGCUAUAGACAUUGAAGAUUUGCAGAAACAAAUUAGUUCUAUUAACAAUGUUAUUGAUUCUACAAAUGGCAUUAUACAGUAGAGUCAAUCAGUGAAAUUUUGCUUCCCGGUGAUGGCGAUGGUCUUACUCAUGAUUGCAGAACUGAGUCUAUGGUAAAUGAGCUGUUUAAAAUCAUUGAUGAGAAGCAUAAAGUAAUUAUGGAUCGUGAUAUAAUAUUAUUAGGGAACUUAGAACUAAAUUAUCAGAGGCCGAAAGUGAGAGAGACUUACUAAAACAACAAAAAUACUCAUUAGAUACGCAAGAUACAUUCCAAUGUAAUGACACAAUAGAAAACCAACGAAGCCUGUCGUCAAAAACAAUACCUAUUGAUGAGUCUACGGGUGAGGGAGACUCACUAAAACAACAAAAAUACUCAUUAGAUACGCAAGAUACGUUCCAAUGUAAUGACACAAUAGAAAACCAACGAAGCCUGUAGUCAAAAACAAUACCUAUUGAUGAGACUACAGGUACGAGAAUAACACUGAUAUUAGUCUGAAUAAUGGUAAAUCUCAUGUCUCUGACUCUAACUCGGCUUUGCAAAAU